rnacentral:rRNA from 1 species
CCUACGGGUGGCAGCAGUAGGGAAUCUUCCACAAUGGGCGAAAGCCUGAUGGAGCAACGCCGCGUGGGUGAAGAAGGUCUUCGGAUCGUAAAACCCUGUUGUUAGAGAAGAAAGUGCGUGAGAGUGACUGCUCACGUUUCGACGGUAUCUAACCAGAAAGCCACGGUUAACUACGUGCCCGCAGCCGCGGUAAUACGUAGGUGGCAAGCGUUAUCCGGAUUUAGUGGGCGUAAGGGGAACGCAGGCGGUCUUUUAAGUCUGAUGUGAAAGGCUUCGGCUUAACCGGAGUAGUGCAUUGGAAACUGGGAGACUUGAGUGCGGGAGAGGAGAGUGGAACUCCAUGUGUAGCGGUGAAAUGCGUAGAUAUAUGGAAGAACACCAGUUGCGAAAGCGGCUCUCUGGUCUGUAACUGACGCUGAGGUUCGAAAGCGUGGGUAGCAAACAGGAUUAGAUACCCUUGUAGUC